rnacentral:rRNA from 1 species
GUGGGGAAUAUUGGACAAUGGGCGAAAGCCUGAUCCAGCCAUGCCGCGUGUGUGAAGAAGGUCUUCGGAUUGUAAAGCACUUUAAGUUGGGAGGAAGGGCAGUAAGUUAAUACCUUGCUGUUUUGACGUUACCGACAGAAUAAGCACCGGCUAACUUCGUGCCAGCAGCCGCGGUAAUACGAAGGGUGCAAGCGUUAAUCGGAAUUACUGGGCGUAAAGCGCGCGUAGGUGGUUUUGUAAGUUGGAGGUGAAAUCCCCGGGCUCAACCUGGGAACUGCCUCCAGAACUGCAUGACUAGAGUACGGUAGAGGGUAGUGGAAUUUCCUGUGUAGCGGUGAAAUGCGUAGAUAUAGGAAGGAACACCAGUGGCGAAGGCGACUACCUGGACUGAUACUGACACUGAGGUGCGAAAGCGUGGGGAGCAAACAGGAUUAGAAACCCUAGUAGUCC